rnacentral:rRNA from 1 species
GCAAGGAAUAUUGUGCAAUGGGCGAAAGCCUGACACAGCGACGCCGCGUGAGGGAUGAAGGCCUUCGGGUUGUAAACCUCUUUUCCCAGGGAAGAAUAAUGACGGUACCUGAGGAAUAAGUCUCGGCUAACUACGUGCCAGCAGCCGCGGUAAUACGUAGGAGGCUAGCGUUAUCCGGAUUUACUGGGCGUGAAGAGGGCGCAGGUGGCUUGAUAAGUCGGAUGUGAAAUCUCCCGGCUCAACUGGGAGGAACCAUCCGAUACUGUUUGGCUUGAGAGCAGUAGAGGGAGAUGGAAUUCCCGGUGUAGUGGUGAAAUACGUAGAUAUCGGGAGGAACACCAGUGGCGAAAGCGGUCUCCUGGGCUGUUUCUGACACUUAGGCCCGAAAGCGUGGGGAGCGAACAGGAUUAGAAACCCGAGUAGUCC